rnacentral:rRNA from 1 species
AGCGAACGCUGGCGGCAGGCCUAACACAUGCAAGUCGAACGAACCUUUCGGGGUUAGUGGCGGACGGGGGAGUAACACGUGGGAACGUGCCUGUAAGUUCGGAAUAACUCAGGGAAACUUGUGCUAAUACCGAAUGUGCCCUUCGGGGGAAAGAUUUAUCGCCUUUCGAGCGGCCCGCGUCUGAUUAGCUAGUUGGUUGAGGUAAUGGCUCACCAAGGCGACGAUCAGUAGCUGGUCUGAGAGGAUGAUCAGCCACAUUGGGACUGCGACACGGCCCAAACUCCUACGGGAGGCAGCAGUGGGGAAUCUUGCGCAAUGGGCGAAAGCCUGACGCAGCCAUGCCGCGUGAAUGAUGAAGGUCUUAGGAUUGUAAAAUUCUUUCACCGGGGACGAUAAUGACGGUACCCGGAGAAGAAGCCCCGGCUAACUUCGUG